rnacentral:rRNA from 1 species
UACAGAGGGUGCAAGCGUUGUUCGGAAUCAUUGGGCGUAAAGGGCGCGUAGGCGGUGUGUCAAGUCAGGCGUGAAAGCCCCGGGCUCAACCUGGGAACCGCGCUUGAGACUGGCACGCUCGAGUUCGGGAGAGGAUGGUGGAAUUCCCAGUGUAGAGGUGAAAUUCGUAGAUAUUGGGAAGAACACCGAUGGCGAAGGCAGCCAUCUGGACCGACACUGACGCUGAGGCGCGAAAGCGUGGGGAGCAAACAGG